rnacentral:rRNA from 1 species
AGAAUCAACGCUGGCGGCGUGCCUAACACAUGCAAGUCGAACGAGAAAGUGGAGCAAUCCAUGAGUACAGUGGCGCACGGGUGAGUAACACGUGACUAACCUACCCUUGAGUGGGGAAUAACCUGGAGAAAUCUAGGCUAAUACCGCAUAACACCUACGGGUCAAAGGAGCAAUUCGCUUAAGGAGGGGGUCGCGGCAGAUUAGCUAGCUGGCGGGGUAAUGGCCCACCAAGGCAGUGAUCU